UACGUAGGGGGCAAGCGUUGUCCGGAAUUAUUGGGCGUAAAGCGCGUGUAGGCGGUCCGGUAAGUCGGCUGUGAAAACUCGAGGCUCAACCUCGAGACGUCGGCGGAAACCAUCUGGCUAGAGUCCGGAAGAGGAGAGUGGAAUUCCUGGUGUAGCGGUGAAAUGCGCAGAUAUCAGGAAGAACACCCGUGGCGAAGGCGGCUCUCUGGGACGGUACUGACGCUGAGACGCGAAAGCGUGGGGAGCGAACAGG
rnacentral:rRNA from 1 species